UACGGAGGGGGCUAGCGUUGUUCGGAAUUACUGGGCGUAAAGCGCGCGUAGGCGGCUUUGUAAGUUAGAGGUGAAAGCCCAGGGCUUAACCCUGGAAUUGCCUUUAAGACUGCAUCGCUAGAAUCGUGGAGAGGUGAGUGGAAUUCCGAGUGUAGAGGUGAAAUUCGUAGAUAUUCGGAAGAACACCAGUGGCGAAGGCGACUCACUGGACACGUAUUGACGCUGAGGUGCGAAAGCGUGGGGAGCGAACAGG
rnacentral:rRNA from 1 species